rnacentral:rRNA from 1 species
AACGAACGCUGGCGGCAUGCCUAACACAUGCAAGUCGAGCGAUCCCUUCGGGGAUAGUGGCGCACGGGUGCGUAACGCGUGGGAACCUGCCCUUAGGUUCGGAAUAACUCAGAGAAAUUUGAGCUAAUACCGGAUAAUGUCUUCGGACCAAAGAUUUAUCGCCUUUGGAUGGGCCCGCGUUGGAUUAGCUAGUUGGUGGGGUAAAGGCCUACCAAGGCGACGAUCCAUAGCUGGUCUGAGAGGAUGAUCAGCCACACUGGGACUGAGACACGGCCCAGACUCCUACGGGAGGCAGCAGUGGGGAAUAUUGGACAAUGGGCGAAAGCCUGAUCCAGCAAUGCCGCGUGAGUGAUGAAGGCCUUAGGGUUGUAAAGCUCUUUUACCCGGGAUGAUAAUGACAGUACCGGGAGAAUAAGCCCCGGCUAACUCCGUG